AAUAACUGUGUCAGUGGCUAAAAAUAAAGAGUGCAUUCAGGAUUUACACAGGCACGUGUGGUACGGCCUGCUCGCAGGUUCAGUUAGUCACAGGAACACAACACAGCAACUGCAGUCAGUCGGCAGGAAGAGCAGCUGCAUUUAGUGCUCUAGGAGCUGCCAGGGAGCCUGUAACAUGAGGGCUGACAAUACGCUGAUCAGCACGUUCAGAUACGGAGGUGCCACCCUGGCUGUUGAAAUGCGAGAGCAGGGUGACGGCGGGCCCGGCGUCCCUGCUGCAUCCAGGGUGGCGGGAAGCCUGCACCGAAAUUUGUUUUUAAGUGCAUGAAAGCAGCCUGGUUCUGCUCCUGUCCACCGGGCGCAUUCAGUGUACUUCCUCGGGGGUGAGCACAGGAAAGGACAAAGUGGGUUGAAAACCUCCCUCAGCCUCACCUGUCAUUGCGUAGGGCUGACCGAAGGCUUUCCUACUCAGAGCCGUUAUUAGGUGCAGCUCUAGCAUCUGUGAGUGUUUUGUGACAGUUUUGUGGAGGUUUCUGUUGCAAGCCUUCUCAAUUGCACGUGCUCAUGCUAUGUACUCUUUGUUAUAUAUCAAAAGAGCUUACUUACUUGCAUUUAAAUAAAUAAUUGUAAAUAUAA